AUCCAGUUGACGAAUCUCAAAUAGGACGAAACAGGCAUGUCUUGGAU
rnacentral:hammerhead_ribozyme from 1 species